GGAGUCGGCCACGCAAUCGCGGUGUCCACACGUGGGCACGGAGGAAAGUCCGGGCUCCAUAGGGCAGGAUGCCAGGUAACGCCUGGGAGGCGUGAGCCUACGGAAAGUGCAACAGAGAGUAGACCGCCGAUGGCUCGUUCGCGAGCCAGGUAAGGGUGAAAGGGUGCGGUAAGAGCGCACCGCGCGUCCGGCAACGGUUCGCGGCACGGUAAACCCCAUCCGGAGCAAGACCAAAUAGGAGGACGACGUGCGGCCCGCACAGUCCUCGGGUAGGUCGCAAGAGGCAUGCGGUAACGCAUGUCCCAGAUGAAUGAUUGCGUACGACAGAACCCGGCUUAUCGGCCGACUCCGAAC
rfam:Salinisphaera shabanensis E1L3A Contig2, whole genome shotgun sequence.